rnacentral:lncRNA from 1 species
UAACCAUCCAAUAAAACCUUGCCGUUAUUCGCGAAUUAGUUAGUAAAUUCGCGAAUUAUUCGCGACUUAUUCACGAAUUAUUGAAAAUCUGAAUUAAACAGUCCGUUUACGAAUUUUUCCAAAAGAAAGAGAAUUAUUCGCGAAUUUUUGAGCCAGCCGAAUUAUUCGCGAAUUAUUGCCGAAUUAUUGAAAGUAUGAAUAAAAAAUUUAUAAUUUUAUUUUUAAAUAUAAAUUGCUUUAUAUUUUAUAUCUUAUAUUUUAUAUUUUAUACCGAAUUCGUUUUUUAAGCCGAAUUUUUCAACGAAUUUAAAAAUUAGAAAACGAAUUUUAUACGUAUUAUAUUCGUACCGAAUUUUUACCGAAUCCGAAUUAACUAACUAUGGUUGGAAGUU